rnacentral:rRNA from 1 species
AGGGCGCUCAGUCAGCAUGUGCAGACCCGAAACCGGGUGACCUAUCCAUGUCCAGGUUGAAGUUCCCGUAAAAGGGAAUGGAGGACCGAACGCACAUCCGUUGAAAAGGGUGGCGAUGAGGUGUGGAUAGCGGAGAAAUUCCAAUCGAACCCGGAGAUAGCUGGUUCUCCUCGAAAUAGCUUUAGGGCUAGCCCCGCGUUAGUUUCACGGAGGUAGAGCACUGAAUUUCCUAGGGGGCGUCAAAGCCUACCGAAGAAUAUCAAACUCCGAAUGCCGUAGAAAUGAUGCGCGGGAGUCAGACCGCACGAGAUAAGUUGGGCGGUCAAAAGGGAAAGAGCCCAGACCCGCGGCUAAGGCCCCCAAGUGUGUGUUAAGUGGAAAAGGAUGUGGGAUUUCAAAGACAGCUAGGAUGUUGGCUCAGAAGCAGCCACACAUUCAAAGAGUGCGUAAUAGCUCACUAGCCGAGAGGUCCUGCGCCGAAAAUGUCCGGGGCUGAAACACACCGCCGAAGCCUGGGAAUGCAGAAAUGCAUUGGUAGAGGAGCAUUCUUAAAGGAGCGAAGCGUUACCGCAAGGAGGCGUGGACUUUUAAGAAGAGAGAAUGCCGGAAUGAGUAGCGAGAUGGAGGUGGGAAUCCUCCAGGCCGAAUAUCCAAGGUUUCCAGAGUAAAGCUGAUCUGCUCUGGGUAAGUCGGGGCCUAAGGCGAGGUCGAAAGACGUAGCCGAUGGACAACAGGUUGAAAUUCCUGUACUGCAUACA